CCGACGGUGAGGGACGAAGGCUGGGGGCGCAAACCGGAUUAGAUACCCGGGUAGUCCCAGCAGUAAACGAUGCCAGCUAUGUGUUGCUGGAACCAUGGGUAUCAGCAGUGCCGAAGGGAAGCCGUGAAGCUGGCCACCUGGGAAGUACGGUCGCAAGGCUGAAACUUAAAGGAAUUGGCGGGGGAGUACCACAACCGGUGGAGCCUGCGGUUUAAUUGGAUACAACGCCGGGAAUCUUACCGGAGGGGACAGCAGUAUGAAGGCCAGGCUAAAGACCUUGCCAGAUCAGCUGAGAGGAGGUGCAUGGCCGUCGCCAGUUCGUACCGUGAGGCAUCCUGUUUAGUCAGGCAACGAUCGAGACCCGCAGUCUUAUUUGCCAGCAUGCCCUUUGGGGUGUAUGGGUACAAUAAGACGACCGGCAGCGCUAAGCUGGAGGAAGGAGCGGGCUACGGUAGGUCAGCAUGCCCCGGAAUCCUCCGGGUUACACGCGGGCUACAAUGGUCAGGACAAAAGGUACCGACCUCGAAAGAGUGAGGUAAUCCACAAGCCUGAUCCCAGUCCGGAUCGAAGGCUGCGACUCGCCUUCGUGAAGAUGGAAUCGGUAGUAAUCGUGACUCAGAAUGUCACGGUGAAUA
rnacentral:rRNA from 1 species